AUACUGAUACAUUGUCCUUCGGCCCAAAAGCGGAAUGGGAGGGCUAGGGCCCGAGCCUAACCCAACCAACCCAAAAAACUAAGCCUAUUCGGGUUUCACAUGACCCAACUCGAUUUCCAUUCUCAAGAGAACCCCGAAAGAGGAGGAAGGGAAUCCACUUUCCUUAUGACCGAGAUGAAUGAUGAAUAUCCCUAGUUCCUUUUACAGUGAAGUGAGAGCUGCUUGAAGUCAUUGAAGUCACUAGUCUUGCUAAAAAAGGAACUCCAAGUGA
rnacentral:lncRNA from 1 species